UGCCGCAGAUUUCCUGAAGGGUGUAGCUGUGCAGAACGGAAUAUGGGGAAAGAGAUCACCAGCCAGAGAUGCAGUUGCACAGAUCUCCCCACAUGCCAGAGGACCAUUUUUCUCCUCUUUCAUCUCCUGUCUGCUGUGUGAAGCCCUUCCCAUGUCUUCUUCUCAGUUCCUACAGCAGCUUCUCCAUUUUUCAAUUAUCACCUGCACCAAAGGCCAGAAAGAAGCACAAAAGUAUGCCUGAAACUAUGGCAGGAAACAUGAUCCUUUUCAAAUAAGAGGCUCUCUGGAGGAGAAUCAUGGAGGAGUGAUAGAGAGUCUUCAGUGGGCAUUUGGCACCUUACCAGCAUCAACUCAUUACAGACCUCUGUAAAUACCAGUAGAGCAGCGCACCUAAAGUUCUUCUCUGCAAGGACUGGCUGAAGAGAGAAGCAAUUCCAGAAGCAACAGUCACUCCAACCAGUCAGCAAAUCUGGAAAACUACUGGGCACUACCACAGAUGCCAGCUAGGAAAAAGAAAAAAAGGAAAAAAAAAAGAGAAAGUGUCAGCAUUUGGAAAAACAAAAGCACUUGGUGCCUUGUCCUGAAAAGGGUCAUUCAUCUGAAACAAACUACUGAUAUUCAGCUCUUUUGUCAUGCCAGUUGGCUCUGGGAAGAACUUCCAAGCAGAAGCUGGCUUCCCCUCCAAGUCUUACAGACCCUGCAGUCUGCCAUGCAUCAGGGAAGGGAACAAAGCACGGGCAGGACUGUGAGCCAGCCCUUGGCUGUAGGCAGAGCUGGUGCCAGCCAACCUGCCCUGCAGCAGCACUGUGCUCACGAGGCCAGCGAGUGCCCAUGUGGUUCCUCUGAUUAGAACACAGCCCUGUCACUCAGCAUCAGCUCCUGCUUCAUCAGUCAUCUCAAUUUCAGUGAUAGUUUGGCACCAUCUUGCAGCCAGGCAUCAUGAAACUCAUUCCCCCUCUCAGAAACAAUUUAGUCCCAUCAUGGAAACAAUUGAAUUAAGUUGUCUCCAGCUUCACCAUAAAUCCAGAGCUCUAAACUGAAGCUGCACUCAAAAUAUCAUGACUAUCUCUGUGUAUUGACUCUUUUCUUUAUGGAAGCAGAAGCUGGAAGGUAGGCAAGAAUAAGAGUAAGAAAAACAAAGUAGAUUCAGCAACCUUUUCUCAGCAGUGAAUCCUACCCUAUAUCAGUUAUAUAACAAUGGCUCCGUUUUGCUGUCAAAAACAUUGUCAAUCUGAAUAAGAGUCUGUAAAGCAAGACCAUGUAAGAUUAAAAAAGCAAGAAUAAGAGGAAUGAUUUGGGAAUUGUCAGUAAUUCAAAGUCUUUAGAGAUGAAUGCUGACAUGAAAAGCUAUAAGAACCUGAGGAGAGGAGAAAAGAAAAGAAAGAACAAAUAAAGCUGAGUAAAAAUAGCAGUUUGGCAAAAAAAAUUAUCAACCUAUUUUAAGUAACAUAUCUCCCCCAAUAUUUUCUUAAAGUUUAUGUGUCCAUCUAAGACUUGUCUGUAAUGCCUGUAGUGAUGAGGAAGGGGUAAACCUGUGGAUGUUGAAAUGGUGGCAUGUUGUUCCCAGCUUUCUACUAUGACUGUUAAGAAAUAAAUAUUUUUGAGCACUCAAAAAUUGUGUAAAAUCCUGCCUUGAAGGGGCACCAAUAAAGUAACUGGGAGCCGAGCAUUACAUUUCCUAUGAUCUGAAACUGCUUUUAGGCCACCUCAGUUCUAGAGUUAUGUCAGUUUCUUUUCUUCACAGUUUGCCCAAGGGAGCCAAUUAAACUUUUGAGAAUGAGAGCUAGGCUCAAAUUCUGCCUUAUGCAUCACUUGCAGACUUGUUAGCCAAGCUGUAACUCCUGUAUAUUUGUAAUUAUUUUCCAAGCUGAUGCAUUAGCUGGAGAAAUCCACCUGGGUCUCUAAUCCCAGGCUGAGUUUGCAAAAUGAGAAGAAAAAUUGUUUUCUUGUAAACUGUACAAAUUGGGUUUGCAGUUGUCACAGAACUGUGAUUAUGGAAAUGUUUAAAAAUAAGUUUUUCUUUCAUUAUUAGCUGGCUGUAAGAAUUGGUUCCCUUUCACUACAUUUCUUUCAAGACCUGAGCUGGGUUUGUAGACAUCAAAAACCACAGCAUUCCUUCCACCAGUGUCAGAAGGUGCUGGAGUGUGUCCCAAAACCAAGGAAGUAAUUCUUGUACCCAAUCUGAUACACAGUGAGACCUGAAUAAUCUGUACUGUAAGAAUUCCUUCAAUGCUACAUCUAUCUUAACCUGAAGCAAACUGUACAGAAAAGGAAUCCAACACUGAUUAUCAGAUCUGGUAGAGUGUUUUUUAGUUUCAUGUGGGAAUUUAAAGGUUUUUCUUUAAUUCUUAUGGUAAUUUGCCAAAAAAAGCUGUUUACUACAAAGUGGCCAUUUGACAGAUUGAGCUGAAUAGUGCCAAAAAACCCCCAAAUGAAAAACAAAAUCCACAGAGUGUUGGCAACAUUGAUCUUCCUCUUCCUUUCCAGAAAUUUCCUUUUCAGGGGUUUCAUUUCUCCAUUCAUAAAUGUUUUU